UACGUAGGGGGCAAGCGUUGUCCGGAAUCAUUGGGCGUAAAGAGCGUGUAGGCGGCCUGGUAAGUCCGCUGUGAAAGUCCAGGGCUCAACCCUGGAAUGCCGGUGGAAACUGUCAGGCUCGAGUCCGGAAGAGGCGAGUGGAAUUCCUGGUGUAGCGGUGAAAUGCGCAGAUAUCAGGAAGAACACCCGUGGCGAAGGCGGCUCUCUGGAACGCAACUGACGCUGAGACGCGAAAGCGUGGGGAGCAAACAGG
rnacentral:rRNA from 1 species